AAUAUUGCACAAUGGAGGAAACUCUGAUGCAGCGACGCCGCGUGAGUGAAGAAGGUCUUCGGAUCGUAAAACUCUGUCCUUGGUGAAGAUAAUGACGGUAGCCAAGGAGGAAGCCCCGGCCAACUACGUGCAAGCAGCCGCGGUAAUACGCAGGGGGCUAGCGUUGUCCGGAUUUACUGGGCGUAAAGGGUGAUUAGGCGGUUAUGUAUGUAAGAUGUAAAAGGGGAGGGCUUAACUUAAGUUAGCAUUUGAAACUGCAUAACUUGAGUGCGGGAGAGGUAAGUGGAAUUCCUAGUGUAGCGGUGAAAUGCGUAGAUAUUAGGAGGAACACCAGUGGCGAAGGCGACUUACUGGACCGUAACUGACGCUGAGUCACGAAAGCGUGGGUAGCAAACAGG
rnacentral:rRNA from 1 species